rnacentral:rRNA from 1 species
AUUGAACGCUGGCGGCAGGCCUAACACAUGCAAGUCGAACGAGUGGCGGACGGGUGAGUAAUGCCUGGGAAACUGCCUGAUGGAGGGGGCUAACUACUGGAAAAGGUAGCUAAUACCGCAUACAAUCAGUUGUGCCCAGAUGGGAUUCGCUAGUGGGUGGGGUAACGGCUCACCAAGGCACCGAUCCCUAGCUGGUCUGAGAGGAUGACCAGCCACACUGGAACUGAGCCACGGUCCAGACUCCUACGGGAGGCAGCAGUGGGGAAUAUUGCACAAUGGGCGCAAGCCUGAUGCAGCCAUGCCGCGUGUAUGAAGAAGGCCUUCGGGUUGUAAAGUACUUUCAGCGGGGAGGCGUUACCCGCAGAAGAAGCACCGGCUAACUCCGUGCCAGCAGCCGCGGUAAUUC